rnacentral:rRNA from 1 species
CCAAUAGCGUAUAUUAAUGUUGUUGCGGUUAAAAAGCUCGUAGUUGAAUUUCGGGAUUGGGAUAUAUCGGUCGUGCCUUUAGGGGCAUGAAUCAGUGUGUGGCCAAUUCUCACUUUCUGGUGAAUUGGGAUGCUCUCGGGUGUUUCAAUGAACUAGGACUUUUACUUUGAAAAAAUUAGAGUGUUUAAAGCGGGCAUUUUUGCUUGAAUACGUUAGCAUGGAAUAAUAAAAUAGGACGAUGGUUCUAUUUUGUUGGUUUUAGGACCACGUAAUGAUUAAUAGGGAUAGUUGGGGGCAUUAGUAUUCAAUUGUCAGAGGUGAAAUUCUUGGAUUUAUUGAGGACUAACUACUGCGAAAGCAUUUGCCAAGGAUGUUUUCAUUAAUCAAGAACGAAAGUUAGGGGAUCAAAGACGAUUUAUGUACGUCGUAGUCUUAACCAUAAACUAUGCCGACUAGGAAUCAGACAAAGUUAAUUUUUUAACGACUUGUUUGGUACCUUACG